rnacentral:lncRNA from 1 species
CGGCCGCCCCGCCCGGCCCCAGCUUCUUCCUUUUACCUUCCUCCUUACCCCGCCCCUCGUUAGCUCCUCUCCCGUGGCACCCUCGCCGAACGUCUCCCGACCCCGCGCACGCGCAGCUGCCUGCAGACCCGGAAGCAGAUCGAGCCGAAGGACGGACGCGUCAGGGUGAGAGUGUCCAACUGUCCGGUUCAAAACUGCGGUUCGCGGUCCCCUAGGUCCCCUUCCGCACACCCGGGGGUCGUCCCGGAGGUUAAAAUCCCUGAACCUGGAUUGACUUCUGAAGACUGGUCUUACCUAAGAAGCCCAGAGAGCUUCCCUGAGAAAGAAGUAUCAAGAAUGUCUCUUUCCCAGGUAAAAGUCACAUUCUUGGUUAAUUCUUUUUUCUCUCUUUCCUGAAAUGCAAUUUUUUUGGACAUUUAUUCUUCUGUGACUCUGACUGAUAUAUCCUGCCUGUCAUGUUUGUUCGUGCUUACCCAGGAGAUCAUCAUGGAAAAGCUUCCUAAACAGGUAUGGAUUGGAGAUGGGUGUGGGUCUCAUGGUGUCAGAGUAAGUGGGCGGCAAGGAUUCUUUAGUAUUGCACAUCUGGAUGCACUGUCAGCACUUUAUACACCAAGAUUCAUGAAACUACAGGAACACUGGGAAAUUCUGUAAAAUGUUGAGAAACCUACCCUCCCUGAUUCUGUAACAUAUUUGAAGGUAAAUGAGUGAAUCAUUGUGUUUCUGGCUCUAAAAUAUUAAUGGUGUGGGAUAGUGUAGACCGUUCAACAACAGACAGCUGCUACAGAGAAUGUUUUAUUCCAUAAUUGGUUUUAAAAUACUUAAUCCAUCUAAAGUCCAAUAGUAAGAGAUUCUUUAAAUCAUUCUCAGCACACCAUCCCAAGAAGACCACGGUAUUCCCGUAGAGGUCUCAUGCACUAGGUGCUUUAGGUAAAAAUGGCUAUAAUUCAACACAUUGAAGAAGAUAUUUUUAUCUAUGCUAUCAGAGAGCAUGAGCCAAUUAUUGGUUCCACCACUUUUUUUUACUAGUUUGUGUAGUAUAAUGUUGAAAGCCUCAUUUCAAUGAAGUAUAAUUUAUACAUGUUUAUUACCAAAAAUACUGAAAUGGAUUUUUGUAU